rnacentral:rRNA from 1 species
UACGGAUGGCGCAAGCGUUGUUCGGAAUCAUUGGGCGUAAAGCGCGUGUAGGCGGUCUGGUCAGUCGGAUGUGAAAUACCGGAGCUCAACUCCGGAACUGCAUUCGAUACUGCCAGGCUAGAGUCCCGGAGAGGGAGGUGGAAUUCCCGGUGUAGAGGUGAAAUUCGUAGAUAUCGGGAGGAACACCAGCGGCGAAGGCGGCCACCUGGACGGUGACUGACGCUGAGACGCGAAAGCGUGGGGAGCAAACAGG